GGGUGCACUCCGGUCCCCUUUAAUUAAGUGGCGGCGGGGUCCAAGUCCGUCGAGUCGAAGAGACUAACAAAAAUCUGUUUUUUUUCCCUUCCCUUGAUUAACAACAGCAAAAAAGCAAAAAAGGACUCUCUGGCUAAGGCGAUCGUUAUGCUGAUGAGAGUCAGCAGCACGUGGUGUCUCAACCCCGUCCUCAUACUUCGGCAGCCUUCAAAAUAAAUAAAACAAUGUGCAUCCCCCACAGGAGAAGGAGCUUUGCUUUCCGGCGAUCUCCCCCAUCCGCGGUCAGGACUAGAGGGAAUGACAAGACUGUCUCCGAUCUGUACUUCUCUCCGGGUUUUCCCAGGAACCCAUUUUUUGUUUGUUUUGAAAAAAGCCUGGACUAUCUUGUUUGCCAAAUAAAUAAGAAUAAUACAUAAUAAUAAAUAAUAAUACUUUAUAAUUUGGUGCCAAAGAUUUUUUUGCUAAAACCCUGUCAAUCUAAAGCCUAAAACAUUUCCUUGAAUAAAUGAAAGCUAGGGAAAAAAAACAACAACAACAAACAAAACAAUCCUUCAGACUAUUAAGGUAAAGAGAGUCUGGUUUGUUUUUCGCCCUUAAAAAAAAAGGCAGAUCUUAUUAAAAACAAUUUACAUACCCAAUAGUAAAAAAGUGUGAACGCCUCCCAGGGCAGAUAACAACCUAUCAAAACUCUCCCUCUAAUUUACUUCGACGUGCCACUUCCACCUUCUUGUACAAAGUAAGCGCUGUGGGUGGGGGUGUUACAUGCGCGAAGUGUCGGUGUGGUUUGGGGCGAUGGGGGGAGGGGGGGCUCCGCUUAUGGUGCCUUUAUGCAGCUUUUUCGCAUACAAUUCUGGGAGCAUUUUCAGCACCAUAAAACAAAUCUUUGGCCUUCCCCCCGAUGCUUUACCCCCUUUCCCCAUGAAAAAACCUGCGUGUACCUAGGUAAAUGAUCCGAAAGCACAUGUGCCUCGACUGAGGUCUUAGGGACCCAAACCACAAGGUAGCAAACACUCCGCGCUUUAGUCCGGCUGUAGGUUCUGCUGCCGGCUUGUUUUCACAAUAGGGUCUGUGGCAACUUUCGAAACCAACCAGCAACACAGCCAAUAGCGUAUACAUAAAACGAUCCUCCCUGACAAUUAACCCAGCGUUGAGUUAUUCCCCGCUACAACCACCAUCGCCUGUUAUCUGACAUACAUUAAAAAAGGUGAAACUUCCGGAGCUUUGGUCUUUAUUUAUUUACUUACUUGAAAUGACAAUGUUCAAAAUAAUCUUUUUUUCGGUCACAUGGGAGAGCUCUCGCUCUGUAUACCGCUAACUGUGGUUUGCAACUCUAUGCUCUUGUCUGCAAUAGCACACGUCCUUGAAGGAAAUGCAGCGGAAGACAUGCAUUUGUUUAUUAUUUUCAUGCUACCUCUUUUUUCCCAAGGUUAAUAUGUUUGAUAGUAACCCCUGAUCACCUGGCAGAGAUCUCAGGGUUUUUUUUCUCUGUAUAUUUGUCAAAUACGGAGUGGUGGUGGUGGGGAGUUUACUGUUCCUACGUGGAAAUAUAAGUAUGAUGGCUACGUGCUCCCAUACUUACCAACAAAAUGGGCAAGAUCCUGUCCAAAAGGAGAAGUGUGCACAGUUCCCCGAAAUGGGGAAUUUAACACAAUCUGCAAGGAGCUGAGUAAUUUAAAUGUUUUCAGAGCUCUCCUUAAAUAGAGUUGCAGUACAGUAAAAUAUUGUUAAGUAGUUAUUUUUGGUACUAUGUUUAUUAUUGUGCUUUUUAACACCUUCCCUUUAGGAUGCCGGAUAACAUUUUCCAUUAGAUAGAGAGUACAGGUGUUGGGCAGAAAAGAAAAAGUUAACAGGAACCUUAUGUUUCCAAGUACAGAAUUAAUUUGACAGUAAUUAUUUCAGUAUUUUUUAAAAGAAGAAGAUACAUUUCCUCUUUUAAUUAGUCAUAUCAGUAUUUUUGCAGUUGCCUUCAUCCAUACUAAAA